rnacentral:lncRNA from 1 species
UCACACUACUGGAGCCCCCUCUUUUUAACAGAUGAAACGGAGGCACACAGAGGCUUGGGGCCUUAUCGCAGGUCACACGUCACGUCAGUGGAGCUGGGCUGGGGCAGGUGGCACCUGCAGGUAAAUUUCUAUGUGGUCUGCAAGCCCCGCAGGGACAUGGGUUUUAACCUAUAAGGAUAAUGCAGGUCAGCCAUGGAAAGUGACCGAGGGAAGAUGAGAGCCAGGAUGCAGAGUGCAGUGUGGAUUGGAGGGACGGAGACCAGAGUCUGGGUCUGGACUCGGCAGCAGGAGCUUGAUGAGUGGAAAUGCUUUCUGUGGGUGCUCCCACCAGCUGAGCUUUGGCAGGAAGACUCAGAGAAAACCUGUAAGGAAAAAAAAAAGUUCCUGCAAGAUGGAGGUCAAACUGGUUCCAGCAUGCUUCUGCUCCCAGGUGGCCUAGAGGUGGAAGCUAUUCGGAUGAAAACACUGUUCCACACUAAAUUCUCUCAGCUUGAAGUUACCCAAUUCCACAGGCAAGAGAAGCCUGACUCUUCACAGGCUGCACACUCCCUUUAAUUUGAGCAAGUGACCUAAGUUUUGCCUAUUCAUUGAUAUUUUGCCAAAUUCUAGUAUUUUAAGGAGUAUGACCUGAAACCAGACAAGUUGGCACAUGCAUGUAAUCUUAGCACUCAGGAGGCUGAGGCAAGAGGACCACAGUGAGAUCCUAUCUCAAAAAAAAAAAAAAAAAAAAAAGACCCAAUGACAAAGAAUAUAGAUGUCCUGCAUUUGUGCUCCCUUUCUCACAUUCUCUAGCCUUUUCCCUAUUAGAAUCAGUUAAUAUUUGGUUGUUUUACACACUACAAAAUCAAGUAAGGGGUAGAAGAAACAGGAAGUGCCAGAUAUGAAUAGGAAGACAAAAGCAGGGAGAUAAUGUGACUUGGGAGAGCCCUCCACACUGGCAUGGUUGGGCUUAGGUCCUGUUUUCUAAGGUUUGGGUGUCAUUUUCUUAACAAGAGGCUCUCAACUGUAAUCUGGUCAACCAGCUUCAGUAAAAUAUAUGUUGGAAAAUGCUGAGGAUGAGCAGGGCUCUGUGGGAGAGUGAGAUUCCUCACAGGGAUACUGAGCCAAGAGGGAAGCCGUGUGGGAAGUGUUCUGGCGAAGGGAGGCCCACAGACAGGCAGCCAGGGAAGGGCCAAGCUCAAGGGAGUCAGGACGAUUCAGUGAAGGAUGAUGGCCAGGCCAGGGCACUGGAGGCUCAACACAUGCAGACCUCAUGGAUUAGUGAGAUUUUCUUGCCCAGCAACAAGAUAUUCAUACCCCUCUCUAUAAAGACCUGCUACAUACACUGAGUUCCUAUAGGCUCACUUCUAACUCAAACUUUCCUGUUUGUAACCCCAUAGGUUAAUCUCAACUUGGCUGAAAUGCAGUUGUUUGUGUAUAAAUCCCCAGAAUCCCUUUGGCAAUCCUUUUUGGGGCCCCUCCCAGGUUCAUUUGCCUAGGGGCUAUUUGCUUUCACUUUACAAUAAACGCAGCUUUCUGCUUUUGUGCUACAAUAAAUAUGUCUACUCAUCUCUCUGCCUUGUAUUUCUGGGCUGAGAGAACCCACCACCUGUGUCAUUUAUUUUGUGA